AAUUAAUAUUAGUGUAAAUUUAUUUUCUUCCUGGCUACGCUUUUCUUGAAAGAUGACUCUUAGGAUGUUUUUCUUUUUAACAUGUUUUGGUUUUUGCUACUUAAUAUGGAUAGAACAGUAAUUUUCCCAAGGAUUUCAGAGCCACUAAGACUUAGCUUCUAUUCAGUCUUUCAAAAUCUCUUAAGUCUUUUAGAAUUAGAUGACCUACCUAUGUUGAGGUUUAGCCAUGAGAUGUUUUAAGCUUGGAAGUUAAGGCAGAAUUAAAGAUACUUUAUGCAUUUGCCCAUACUAAUGAAAAGGAUUCCUUGAAAUGUUAGUCAGAACUUCUGUAAAAGAACCUAGAAAAAUACGUACCAUAUAAACUGUUCUUUGGAAUUUUCUACCUUUAGCUAAGUGUUAGGCGGAAAAAUACUAAAGAGAUGUUUGGUGGCUUCUUCAAAAGUGUGGUGAAAAGUGCUGAUGAAGUCCUUUUUACUGGAGUUAAGGAGGUAGAUGACUUCUUUGAGCAAGAGAAGAACUUCCUUGUUAACUAUUACAAUAGGAUCAAAGAUUCUUGUGUGAAAGCUGACAAAAUGACCAGAUCUCAUAAAAAUGUUGCCGAUGACUACAUCCACACUGCAGCCUGCUUACAUAGCCUGGCUUUAGAAGAGCCCACAGUCAUCAAAAAGUAAGUUUUUUUGGAAAAGCAUUUCCUCUAACUUAAUUGAAGAGUGCUGAGUGGUAUAACUAAAAGCAUAAAUGAGUAAAGACUACCAUGGUUUCCAUCCUGCUGUGGAGUUACAGGCUCACUAAGGCAAGUCUCCAGCACUCAUCUUACAUGUUCUCUGUACAUAAGACACUUGUAAGACAAUUGUAGGGGACUUGGGCUCUUCUACAUACAAACAAAUACGGUUAAUAUGGUCAAAGCAGUAGUUUCUGUCACACUUAAAAAGCCUGUUUGCUCUAGUUUUGGGGGUUGAGAGAGUUUAUCUGGCGAUUGGUGCUUGCCAUUUUGCCUGCCUGGUAAUGCCCUGGACCACCCUUUUGGGCUGGGAUGCAGCCCCAGGAGAUCCUGAGAACGUGUGCCUCUCUCCCUGGAUCUUGAAGAGAUUUGGUUAUGAUGGUCUGAAGAAUAAUGUAAUGACCUCAGUCUGAUACACAGCUGGUUUGAUGCACA
rnacentral:lncRNA from 1 species